rnacentral:rRNA from 1 species
AUGAUGAACGCUAGCUACAGGCUUAACACAUGCAAGUCGAGGGGCAUCAGGAAGAAAGCUUGCUUUCUUUGCUGGCGACCGGCGCACGGGUGAGUAACACGUAUCCAACCUGCCCUUUACUCGGGGAUAGCCUUUCGAAAGAAAGAUUAAUACCCGAUAGCAUAAUGAUUCCGCAUGGUUUCAUUAUUAAAGGAUUCCGGUAAAGGAUGGGGAUGCGUUCCAUUAGGUUGUUGGUGAGGUAACGGCUCACCAAGCCUUCGAUGGAUAGGGGUUCUGAGAGGAAGGUCCCCCACAUUGGAACUGAGACACGGUCCAAACUCCUACGGGAGGCAGCAGUGAGGAAUAUUGGUCAAUGGGCGCUAGCCUGAACCAGCCAAGUAGCGUGAAGGAUGAAGGCUCUAUGGGUCGUAAACUUCUUUUAUAUAAGAAUAAAGUGCAGUAUGUAUACUGUUUUGUAUGUAUUAUAUGAAUAAGGAUCGGCUAACUCCGUGCCAGCAGCCGCGGUAAUACGGAGGAUCCGAGCGUUAUCCGGAUUUAUUGGGUUUAAAGGGAGCGUAGGUGGACUGGUAAGUCAGUUGUGAAAGUUUGCGGCUCAACCGUAAAAUUGCAGUUGAUACUGUCAGUCUUGAGUACAGUAGAGGUGGGCGGAAUUCGUGGUGUAGCGGUGAAAUGCUUAGAUAUCACGAAGAACUCCGAUUGCGAAGGCAGCUCACUGGACUGCAACUGACACUGAUGCUCGAAAGUGUGGGUAUCAAACAGGAUUAGAUACCCUGGUAGUCCACACAGUAAACGAUGAAUACUCGCUGUUUGCGAUAUACAGUAAGCGGCCAAGCGAAAGCAUUAAGUAUUCCACCUGGGGAGUACGCCGGCAACGGUGAAACUCAAAGGAAUUGACGGGGGCCCGCACAAGCGGAGGAACAUGUGGUUUAAUUCGAUGAUACGCGAGGAACCUUACCCGGGCUUAAAUUGCAGUGGAAUGAUGUGGAAACAUGUCAGUGAGCAAUCACCGCUGUGAAGGUGCUGCAUGGUUGUCGUCAGCUCGUGCCGUGAGGUGUCGGCUUAAGUGCCAUAACGAGCGCAACCCUUAUCUUUAGUUACUAACAGGUUAUGCUGAGGACUCUAGAGAGACUGCCGUCGUAAGAUGUGAGGAAGGUGGGGAUGACGUCAAAUCAGCACGGCCCUUACGUCCGGGGCUACACACGUGUUACAAUGGGGGGUACAGAAGGCAGCUAGCGGGUGACUGUAUGCUAAUCCCAAAAGCCUCUCUCAGUUCGGAUCGAAGUCUGCAACCCGACUUCGUGAAGCUGGAUUCGCUAGUAAUCGCGCAUCAGCCACGGCGCGGUGAAUACGUUCCCGGGCCUUGUACACACCGCCCGUCAAGCCAUGGGAGCCGGGGGUACCUGAAGUACGUAACCGCAAGGAUCGUCCUAGGGUAAAACU